rnacentral:rRNA from 1 species
UACGGGGGGGGCAAGCGUUGUUCGGAAUUACUGGGCGUAAAGGGCUCGUAGGCGGCCAACUAAGUCGGAUGUGAAAUCCCCAGGCUUAACCUGGGAACUGCAUCCGAUACUGGAUGGCUUGAAUCCGGGAGAGGGAUGCAGAAUUCCAGGUGUAGCGGUGAAAUGCGUAGAUAUCAGGAGGAACACCGGUGGCGAAGGCGGUUCUCUGGGCAUGACCUGACGCUGAGGAGCGAAAGUGUGGGGAGCGAACAGG